CUACGGGGGGCUGCAGUGGGGAAUAUUGCACAAUGGACGAAAGUCUGAUGCAGCAACGCCGCGUGGAGGAUGACACUUUUCGGAGCGUAAACUCCUUUUAUAUAGGAAGAUGAUGACGGUACUAUAUGAAUAAGCACCGGCUAACUCCGUGCCAGCAGCCGCGGUAAUACGGAGGUGCAAGCGUUACUCGGAAUCACUGGGCGUAAAGAGCGUGUAGGCGGGUUAAUAAGUCAGAAGUGAAAUCCAAUAGCUCAACUAUUGAACUGCUUUUGAAACUGUUAACCUAGAAUAUGGGAGAGGUAGAUGGAAUUUCUGGUGUAGGGGUAAAAUCCGUAGAGAUCAGAAGGAAUACCGAUUGCGAAGGCGAUCUACUGGAACAUUAUUGACGCUGAGACGCGAAAGCGUGGGGAGCAAACAGGAUUAGAUACCCCCGUAGUC
rnacentral:rRNA from 1 species